rnacentral:lncRNA from 1 species
CUUUGUGUCUGCUCGCUUGAAGAGAACAAUUCGCUGUUUUACCCUUCCCACCCACUUUCUGGUCUCCACAAUUUCAGAGGCGCGUGUCACGCAUGGGAGAUACCCCCCAUAUAUCUGCCACAUUUCCACCUUUAUCUCUUCGACGGGGAUUGCUGCGUCACCCAGAUCUCUCUGGGUAGCCGCGGAAACUCAGUCUUCUUUGCGGGGGUGUCUUUUUGCACCGGGGGACGUUUCGGUCUAACGGUCCCACAGUGGGUGAGGGGUCUGGUGGACAGAACUGAGGAGUCGCAGAAUUCAAAAUGGAAUUACCGGCUGCACGGCGAAAGAAUGCGGUAUCAUCAAAUCGAGCCGUACCCCACAGGGUCGGAGUGUAGGUGUUCCUCGGGUGAACUAGGACAGGACUCGGAGGUCGAGUUUUGCGUCGCAAGGGGGGAAGCGGGUGUUCCGGCGUGAUAAUGUUUGUCGUAUUGAUACGUGGUGUUCAGCUUUUCUAUUUCCACGGCAACUAUCAUCUUGGCUAGGCCCUCAUAACACAACAAAACUUGGAUUCGGUAAACAACGACCUACAAGUAGACACAGCUCCGGUUGUGCGUUGUCGCCCCUUGAAACCCAGACUUCACUCGUAUCCGCAGCAAAUGAGGACUGUGGCAUUGAUGCAGCAAGAUUUACUCGGUACUUUAGCGGAUCGAAACCGUGGCGGGAAAGGUAAUUAGAGCCUGAGAAGGGACGCCUCCUCUCACACUUGUCGCAAAGCCCCAACUGUUCACUCGCCACGCUUCGCUACGUUUUGUGUCUGCGUCAACGACUUGCUGCCUUACACUCACUGGUCUCUUUUUCGAGCGAAUGCCCCCCUUCGCUAAACAGUGUGUGUUUCUUCUGUGCCUCUCUUGUUUUUCCUUCCGGCAGCGAUAAAUUCCACGGGGUGUUGGAGCAACUCAAAUCUCAGUGAUAUAUACGUAUAUAGAGAGAGGAAGCUAGAGCCAAACAUAAAGACAAAGAUGUAGAUGAGAUAGAACUAGACGCAUGCUGCUGUAUAUAUCGAGUCGACUGUCGUUGUGCGUUUCAAUUGGUGGAUGAGCGAGCAGGUUACAGAUUUCGGAUUUUUCGUAGGUUGCUCGGUCCCUGAUGAAUCGAAGCCGCAGGCACACGUCUGCAGUCCCACGUUGCUAUCUGCACUGCAACACUUCUCUGCGCGCUACCGCUUUCGUGGAGCUUCGAGUUCUACCGGCCAUGAUGUUGUGUCACUGCUGCAUUGCACCGCGAGAUGGUGGCUUCUUUUGACCAGUUAAAAGUAGUCAAUAAUUGUAUUUGAAUACCGGUGGAACUUCGAUUAUCCGAUUUGUAGUCCCGAUAAACUACACGACAUUCAGAAUCGAAACGAUGGCAUCACCCGUCUUGACAGCGAGAAAAAACGACUACGCGGGACGGAAGGAGACGGUCGGAUACACGAAGGCACCGAAUACGUGUUUGUUAUGGCAAACUGCGGGAAUGCGUUCCUAGGCAACGCCUGGUGUGGCACCUGCCGAAUGGCCACGGCCGUGUACAUAAAUUUAGUAAUGCUUGUCAACGUUCUUGUUAUCUAUUUCGCCCAUUGCGUUGUGUGAAUGUGAGAAAAAACAAGAAAGUGGAGGUGCACGGUGAAACAUCUCCCUGCUGUUCCACGAGAGAGGAUUGCUCCGGUCAGCAAAACAAGCGUUUCGUGGAGAAUGACUUCUCCGACGGGACGGAGAGUGAUCGUAGUUUCCAUGACUAGGGUCCCUACGUAGAGCCACCAUGCGCGUCUAGGUUACUGUCCAGAUUCUGCAUCGUUGUUGGUGGCUGCUUGAUGGUUGUUUUCUCACGGUUUUCCUCAUAGGACAUUCACCGUGCUUACGCUCGUUCAGAAGAUCUACACGUAUCAAAUUUCAUCUA